GGUUUUGGCCCAGUAACCAAGGUUAGCUGUCGUUUCGAACUCUCGAAAGAGUGCGUCGAAUAACUAAAAUUUCUGGAAACGCCUUCGGCGUUAUCCGAAGAG
rnacentral:sRNA from 1 species